GCCCGGUUAGCUCAGCUGGUUAGAGCGUCGUACUAAUAUCGUCAUCUCGGCAAUGUUCAGUCAAUGCGAAGGUCAACAGUUCAAUCCUGUUACUGGGCA